ACCGACAGGAGGACGAACCUUGGCACCAUUAUAUCUACUAUUGUGUACUGCCUUAAAACAUUUCUGCAUAGCCUCAUGAUCCCUUUGUACAGAACUGGUCAUCUGGAGAUCGAGCACUGCAAAAAGAGAUGGAAGACGACCACGCCACUUCCGUUUCAUUGGCUCCCGCUUUUAGGCACCGGUGUGACGUGUUCCUGAGCUUCAUAGGCGAAGAACCCCGCCCUAGCUUUACUUACAACCUCUGCGACUCGCUCGAGAAACACCGCGUCCGAGUCUUCUUCCAAGACCACGGGCAGCAGGGUGGGGAAGAGAUCUCGCCGUCUCUGCUCGAGGCCAUCGAGGACUCGGCUGCUUCCAUCGCCAUCUUCUCCCCGAACUACGCGUCGUCCUCUCAGCGCCUAGGGGAGCUUUCGAAGAUAUGCGAGUGUAGGAGGCGCCUUCUCCCCGUGUUCUACCGAGUCACGCCGUCGGACGUACGGCACCAGCGUGGACCGUUCGAACAACAUAUUAGACACCAUGAAGAGAGGUUUGGAAUGACCACGGUUACUAAGUGGAGGACAGCCAUGAAAAAGGCUGGUGGAAUCUCUGGUUGGGUUUUCGACGACAGUGGCGGCGAUGAGGUGCAAGCGCAGUUGAUUGAAUCUUUAGUCCAGAGGGUGUUGUCUGAACUGGCCAUUACUCCAGUGGAUGUUGCUGCAUAUACAGUUGGACUUGAUUCUCGGAUUAAAAAAUUGAUGAGUGGGUUGGAUUUAAAUUCCAAAGGCAUUCGAGUUCUUGUAUUAUAUGGGAUGGGUGGGGUUGGAAAGACAACCCUUGCCAAGGCUCUUUGUAACAAACUUGUUGCCCACUUUGACUGCCUCAGUUUCAUUUCCAAAGUAAGAGAAAACUCUGCGAACGAUGCUGAUUUAGUAUCCCUACAGAACAAACUUAUCCGCGACCUUUCUUCGGGUAAGUCAACUGUAUAUUCUACCCCUGCAAUCAAGGAAGUACUUCAAGAGAAGCGAGUUCUUGUUGUUUUGGAUGAUGUUGACAUGAUAAGUAAGUUUGGUGCAUUAAUUGGGAGAAUAGAAUGGUUUCAUGAAGGAAGUAGAAUCGUGGUAACCACAAGAGACAGAGAAGUUUUACCUGAACAUCUUGUGAAUGAGUUUUACGAGGUCACAGAAUUGAGAGACUCUGAAGCCUUAGAGCUUUUUAGCUACCAUUCACAAAGGAGAAAAAGACCCACAGAAAAAUAUUUAAGUCUGUCCAAGCAAAUCGUGUCCCUUACAGGGGGUCUACCAUUAGCUUUGGAAGUAUUUGGUUCGUUCUUGUUCGAUAAGAGGAGAGUAGAGGAAUGGGAAGUUGCUCUACAAAAGUUGAAAGAGAUUCGUCCCCGCCAUCUUCAGGAUGUUUUGAAGAUAAGUUUUGAUGGGCUAGAUUCACAAGAGAAGUGCAUAUUCCUUGAUAUUGCAUGUUUAUUCAUUAAAAUGAAAAUGAAGAGAAAGGAUGUUAUUGACGUGUUAAAAGGUUGCGGAUUUGGGGCCGAGAUAGCAGUCAGAGAACUCAUAGCAAAAUCACUCAUCAAGGUCACCCAGGAAAACGCCUUGUGGAUGCAUGAUCAAGUUAGAGACAUGGGAAAACAAAUUGUUCUAGAGGAUAGCCCUGUGAAUCCUGGCAUGCGAAGCAGACUGUGGGAUCGUGAUGAGAUCAUGACUAUCUUGAAGGAUGAGAAGGGAACAGGAUCUAUAGAAGGGAUCGUCCUAGACUUUCAAAGCAUGCCCCUUGUGCAGGAUAAAAGCGGUGACAGAACUGCUUGGGAAAAUUUUAAGAGGUCGCCCAGUUUCACCUCUGCAUUGACAUACAUGGAAGAAAGGUAUAAGAAGUUUCUUGAAACUAAAGCAGAAAGAGAGAGGGAGAUAAUACUACGCACGAAGUCCUUUGAAUCUAUGGUUAACCUAAGACUUCUGCAAAUCAAUUAUACAAGAAUGGUAGGAAAGUAUAAAUAUCUUCCUGCAGAACUGAAGUGGCUACAGUGGAAAGGGUGUCCUUUCAAAAGUAUUCCUUCUGAUUUUUCUCCACGGGAACUUGCUGUCCUUGACCUCUCAGACAGCAAAAUUGAACAAGUGUGGGGCUCGUAUAGUAAUAAGGUUGCUGAGAAGUUGAUGGUCAUGAAUUUCCACGGUUGCCAUAAUCUUGCUGCUAUUCCUGAUUUAUCUGGCCAUCAAACAUUGGAAAAGCUUGAUCUUGAGCAUUGCCAGAGUCUAACUAAUAUUCAUGAAUCAAUAGGAAAUGUGAGUACAUUACUUCAUUUAAACCUAAGAUAUUGUUCGAACCUUACUGAGUUUCCUGCUGAAGUCUCUGGACUGAAAAAAUUAGAGACUUUCAUCCUCUCUGAUUGUUCAAAAUUGAAACAAUUACCAAUGGACAUAGGCAGCAUGAGAUCUCUAAAAGAACUUCUCGCUGAUGACACCGCUAUAGCAGAGCUACCUGAAUCCAUUUCUUGCCUUGCUAAACUCGAAAACCUUAGUCUAAAAGGUUGUCGGUUCUUAAGAAGACUACCCAACUGCAUUGGAAAGCUUUCUUCCCUGAAAGAACUCUCACUUAAUCAUUCUGCAGUAGAAGAAAUACCCGAGUCUGUUGGAGAUUUAUUAAACCUUGAGAAACUAGGUUUAACGGGUUGUAAAUCAGUCACUUCAAUUCCAGAUUCUGUUGGCAAUCUCAUAUCGUUGUCAGAACUUCUCCUUAAUGGUUGUGCAAUCCAUAAACUGCCUGAUUCCAUUGGUUCAUUGUCAUAUUUGAAGGACUUAUUAGUUGGAAACUGUCGGUUUCUGAGUAUAUUGCCUGAUUCAAUUGAAGGACUGGCUUCUAUGGUUGAACUUCAAUUGGAUAAGACAUCAAUAAAAAAUUUGCCAGAUCAGAUAGGUGCCUUGAAAAUGCUAAGGAAGCUUGAGAUGAGUAACUGCAAAGAUCUUAUAUCUUUACCAAAAUCACUGGGAAACAUGUUGGCCCUUACUACUUUGAACAUAUACAAUGCCAACAUUUCUGAAUUGCCAGUAUCCAUAGGGAUGCUGGAAAAUCUUGUUUCAUUAAGAUUGACUAAAUGCACCCAGCUCCAUGAACUUCCUGCUUCAAUAGGAAAUUUGAAGUCUUUGCACUCCUUGAUGAUGGCAGAAACUGCUGUGACAGAACUACCUGAAAGCUUUGGGAUGCUCUCAAGUUUAAAGAGAUUAGAAAUGGGCAAGGACCCUCGUCAGGAGUUAGCUAGAAACAGAAUUCCUGAGGAGCUUGUAACUGCAACUGCACAAGGGGAACCUAAUCCAGUCAGACUUCCGGCUUCUUUUUCCAAUUUAUGCUCACUACAAGAACUAGAUGCUCGCGCUUGGAAGCUACGUGGUAGAAUCCCUGAUGAUUUUGAAAAGUUGUCGUCAUUGCAGAAUUUGAAUCUAGGCCACAAUGAUUUCUUCAGCCUUCCAUCGAGCUUAAGGGGCCUCUCGCUACUCAAAGAGCUUUUAUUGCCCGACUGCAAAGAGCUCACGUCUCUUCCUCCACUUCCCUCGAGCUUGGUGACGGUGAAUGUUGCAGACUGUACAGCAUUAGAAACGGUGUCUGAUCUUUCCAACCUGGAAAGCUUGUGGGAGCUGAACCUUACGAACUGUGACAAGGUGGUGGAUAUUCCGGGCCUUGAAGGCUUGAAGUCCUUGAGAAGGUUGUUCAUGACUGGUUGCAGAACAUGCUCGUCCGCAGUAAGAAAAAGGCUUUCUAAGGUUUGUUUGAGGAAUUUACGCUCUCUGAGUAUGCCGGGAAGCAAAAUUCCAGAUUGGUUUUCUGGAGAGGUGGUUACAUUUUCAGAACGCAAGAACCGUGCGAUCAAAGGUGUGAUAAUAGGUGUUGUUGUCUCUGUCAACAAUCAAAUACAAGAUGAGUUAAGAGAUCGACUCCCUUUGAUAGCAGGUAUACGAGCACAUAUUACCAAACUGAAUCAACCUAUAUUCAGUACAAUGCUGGAGUUAAAGGGAAUCCCAAAGGUGGACGAAGAUCAUCUUUACUUGUGUCGUUUUCACGAUUAUCGCCCUUUAGUAACUCAGUUGAAGGAUGGUUAUAAGAUACAAGUGACACAGCAAGACCCGCCAUACAUCAAGGGGGUUGAGAUGAAAAAGUGUGGGAUUUAUUUGAUUUUUGAAGGUGAGGAUGAUUAUGAAGGAGAUGAGGAAUCAUUGCGUGAAAGCCAACUAUCCAUUUCAGAAAAGCUAGCAAAGUUUUUCAGCUCUCUUGGAGAGGAAGAUCACGUCUCUGAAUCUGGUCGUGAAGUGGAAAGCCAAGCGCAAGAGAUUGAGGAACAAGAAGAAAGAGAAAGAAAGCCCUUUUGGUUUGGCUUUACGCGGCUUGUUCGAGGAUGCUUUUGUUUUUAAGAAGAAGCAGCAGCUGCUGCAGCUACUUUGUAGUCUUCAUUUUCCCAGCGUCUGCAUUGUUUGAUGAGAAUGUUAUAAAUUAGAAAAAAAACAGAGGGAGGGAGGGAGAAACAAACCGUAGAAAUUACUGCUCAUAAAAUAAGGUUCGUCUGUCUUUGGAAGCAUCUCCUCUGUGGCAUAGUUGCAAUCGAAAAUGGAGUCUGCUGGACAGGACUGAACCACAUUUUCUCCAAUUUUUCAAAGUCCCAAGAAUGGUCAAGGUCAAGCCGCUUCACACUGGGUUGCACAUCCAUAACUAAUAAAACCAGCUUUCCUUUUCUUUUCCCAAUGGAACAAACUCAUGGGUUUGAUCCAGACUCCAAAAUUGGCGUUGAGGAUAGGAUUUCACGAGUUCCUUCUAAGAGAAGGAAGUUUGUCUUCAUGGCACGCCAUGCAGCAGGCCGGCACUUCUUUUCUGCAUUGGCAGGAGUUCUAGCGUGGACAGGUACAUUUUGGGGAGAUUUUUAACUAUGAAUAAAA